CACUCCAGCCUGGGUGACAGAGCAACACUCUGUCCCAAAAAACAAAAAACAAAACAAACCCAUGUCCUUACUUGUAAGUCUCUUUCCCACACUUCCAGUCAGCAUGCGAUUGCAACAGCAUAGGUAAGAUGGAUUCUAGUCCCUAAAAUUCAAUACUCUCCUGAACCUUCUCCUACAGACGAGACUCUGCAAUUCAGAGGCCUCUUCUCAGUCUGUUCACUAGGUCAUUCAGAGUAUGCCACUAAUGUAGGAAGAAAGUAUUUUGAUUGACAGCAUCAUGAAUGUUUAAUCCUUUCAAGUAUGUUAUCUAUUUGGAAUGUAUGCAAUAAAUUCACUUUCAUGAACACUA
rnacentral:lncRNA from 10 species